UACCAGCACCCCGAGUGGUCGGGACGAUUAUUGGGCCUAAAACAUCCGUAGCCGGUCCUACAAGUCUUCCGUUAAAUCCACCUGCUCAACAGAUGGGCUGCGGAAGAUACUAUAGGGCUAGGAGGCGGGAGAGGCAAGCGGUACUCAGUGGGUAGGGGUAAAAUCCUCUGAUCCAUUGAAGACCACCAGUGGCGAAGGCGGCUUGCCAGAACGCGCUCGACGGUGAGGGAUGAAAGCUGGGGGAGCAAACCGG
rnacentral:rRNA from 1 species